rnacentral:misc_RNA from 1 species
GAUGAAGAACGUAGCGAAAUGCGAUAAGUAAUGUGAAUUGCAGAAUUCAGUGAAUCAUCGAAUCUUUGAACGCACCUUGCGCCCCUUGGUUAUUCCGAAGGGCAUGCCUGUUUGAGUAUCAUGAACACCUCAACUCUUGUGGUUUCCCACAAUGAGCUUGGACCAUGGAGGUUUUUGUUGGCCCUCUGGUCAGCUCCUCUCAAAUGGAUCAGCUUACCGGUGUUUGGUGGCAUCAUGGGUGUGAUAACUAUCUACGCUUGUGGUCGUCUCCAAAUAACCUCCAGUGAUGGAGGUUCGCUGGAGCUUAUAAACGUCUCUCCCCAGUGAAGACAGCCUUUGAACGUUCGAUCUCAAAUCAGGUAGGACUACCCGCUGAACUUAAGCAUAUCAAUAAGCGGAGGA